AUAGUGAACAGGACGGAGUGUUCCCAGAGAGUUUUGUCCCAGAGGUCAGGCGGGAAGGAAGAGAAGAGAGUGUUAGCAGGAGCUUCCUGGAGGGGAUGAAGUGGAACUUGAGCUGAGGCUAGACACUGAGCAGAGCAAGAGAGAAUCCAUGACCUAACAGAGGGCCAAUGGCCUGCACCAAAUUGCAGCCGAAGCUUGAUUUGGGUGUCAGCAAGUUAAAACUCAGGCACAUCCAUCUUUCGUGAUCCAAGUAAAUUCUAGUGGGCAAGAGGAAGAGAAGAGAAACUACAACAUCAUUAUCUUACUGCUGAAGGCAGCAGAUUACGGACCCCUGACUGUGAUGUGUCAAAUGCACUAUGUGACAACCAAGACCCUACACAUCUAGGGGGCACUUCAGGAUUCCUCCAGGCGGCAGUUGCUGGCCUAGACUCACUUCUUCAGGAGGGAGGUUCGCCCUGGAAAAGCUGAUCUGCAUUUCUGCUGGAAUCGAUGCUGUGGAGACUGAAUACAUUGAGUUCUCCAGUUGAAAGAAGAAAGCUUAACCUGGCUUCUGAACUCCAAGAGCACACGGCAAAGUGGUAAGAAAAUUAAGGUCUAUUUU